UGUCCAUGUUAAAAUAGGACACCCUGUAUAUUAAAUAUUGUUCAAGUGGUGAAUGUUCAUGAUAGACGCGCGACGUGGAUAAGAAGUGUUCGUCGGAGAAAUUCGUCACUCGCACGAAUAAAUUUUCGAAACUUCGAAGCUUCGAAACUUCGAAGAUUUCGAAACUUCGAAGUCAACUUCGAAGCUUCGAAUUACUUCGAAAUCUUCGAAGCUUCGAAGUUAUGAAAAGUAACAGCUCUAUUCUGAAGUACGUCCUGUGGACUUCCUAAAGAACUUUCGGAGGAUGUCUUCGGGACCUCGUGAGGAUAUAAUGAGGCGCGCAUCGGGUGUUCCACAGAAUGUCCUCAGGACGUCCCGGGACUAAAAUGGGAUGUCCCCACAACGUCCUUACGUCCCGUUCUGGAUAUUCUAAGGACGUCUUGAGGACGUCCUUGUGCUAUUUGGGAUGUCAACAUAUAAAUUUCGCAUUUAUGAUAUCUAAAAGAUAUUCUAAUAAUUUUUGGGGGAAAAUUAAUUUCUCAUUAUUAUAAUGUAAUAAACAUAAAAUUUAUUAUACUGCACUAUGCAUACAUAGAUACAAUAUACAAUAGGUACAAUAUACAGAAUAUAUUUCGAGGUGUUCUUUUUAUAAACGAUAAGUUUAAAGAUACCGUUACCCAGUCAGAAAUGACUGGAAAACCGACGUCGAUUCGAUAUCGUUUCGACGUCGGUUUUCCAGUCAUUUCUGACUGGGUAUCUUCCAAACGAAACAAUAUAUGCUAAGGUUAUUUUAAUGGCUCAUAACAUUUCGUAAAGAAACAAAAAACCAAUGGAAAACCUUGCUAAAUACAAAGUAGUAGUAAAGUAGGAGCAACUUACGAGGGCGACUGACGAAACAGUGCAUAGACUUAACCGUUAACGAGGAACAUUACAAAAAAACGCACGAGUCAACUACAGAGUGCGUCUUUUUGCGAGUCCGUCGCGACUAUCGAAGUUUUCGAUCUGCGAAGGGCUCGUCGCCUUAGGUUGUGCAUUGUUUUUGCCACCAACCACUUUCGCAUAUGUAGCGCAGUGCGUCUACAAACCCAAUGAUCAGGCAAUGAGUGGAUAACCGGUUGUUUGCGCCUCGAUUCCAAUCGUUUUCAGCGCCGUUUUGAUGUUCGUCUCCGGGCUGGGCGCCAUCCACGAUGUUUUCUUGAUCUUGGACAUCUUUGUGGCGGCCGGGCCGGGUAGGACGCACUGGACGACGAUCUCUCUCGAUGCAGCUUCCGUAGCAAGGUCGGCGCUGAGCUUACAUGAUUACAAGAUUACAUCUAUACAUAGAUUAUACAUUAUCUCAUUCAAAUUAAUUAUACCCAGAUAGCAUUUUGACAUCCAAUGUAUAUACAUUGCAUAUACAUCAGUGUAUAUGACAUAUCCUAUGAACAUGCAAUGAUACAUCAACGACAUACAUUGGAUAUCGUAGGUAUGUGCAAAUGCAACGCGCUGUACAUGCAAUGUAUAUCCUCGCAAUAUACAUGUGUAUAUUUGCCGAACAUUCUAUGUACAUGUGUAUGUGAAUAUACAGAGAAGUAUAUAUAUGUAUAUAUAUUUAUAAUAUACACAGGUAUAUUGCAUGGAUAUACAUCGCAUGUACAGAGUUGCAUUUGCACAUACCUACACUGAGAGUUGAAAAACAGUGAUGGUUAUAACAUUUUUCCUCGUUUUUAACUUUUAGUCUUUCUUACAGUAACCAUUACGUACCACUACAGUAAGCAUUCUCCCAGUAAUCAGUAUGGAUUUUACAAUAACUAUUACGGAUUCUACAGUAAUGAAUAUAGUUCAACUGAUUGACUGUUAGGUACUUACUAAUCCAGUAUUGAAUCAGUAUACUGUAUUUCCACAAUCAUUACGAUAAAAAUCAGUAAUGGUUUUGGUACAAGAUUUUAUUGAAAAAAAAAAUUUUUUUUCAAAAGGAGUUAUAGUGUCCUCGCGAACAUUGACCUUUCAGAGCCUUGGAAAAGUGCGUUCGGCUCGCUUCCACGCGCCUCCGAGCGUGUUAGCGAGAUAUUAAAAUUGCUAGUUGCGUCAUCCCACACCUCCUCGUCUGGAAGCC